rnacentral:sRNA from 1 species
AUUUCUCUGUCCUGGUAGAACCAUGUGAUAGUGAACUAAAACAUCACCAUCGAUUCCUUUUCCCAUAUUCUGAUCUUACCUGGAAACCCGUGCUCUCAGAUUUUGUGGGGUUAUCUGGCAGAUUGACAGUGACAACAGUCCCAUCUGGUGAAGGCUUAGGAUAUUAGGAUGUUUCUUAACUUCUUAUUGUUUGAAGAAACAGUUGUGAAUAUAAAUUAAUCAAAAUUAGAGGCCAGGCACAGUGGCUUACACCUGUAAUGCCAGCACUUUGGGAGGCCGAGGCGGGCAGAUCAUCUGAGGUUGGGAGUUUGAGACCAGACUGGCCAACAUGGUAAAACCCCGUCUCUACUAAAAAAAAAAUACAAAAAAAAAAACAAAAAAAAAACUAGCCAAGUGCGGUCGCACGUGUCUGUAAUCCUAACUACGUGGAAGGCUGAGGCACAAGAAUUGCUUGAACCUGGGAGGCAAAGGCUGCAGUGAGCUGAGAUUGCACCACUGCACUCCAGUCUGGCCAACAGAACGAGACUCUGUCUCAAAAAUAAAUUAAUUAAUCAAAAUUAAUUGUCCAGCUUUGAUUUAGAAUCUUAACUGCUAUUACACGUCUCUUCUGUCUACCUUCAAAAAGGUCAUCUAAUACACGGGAGAAACAUGGAUUUUGGAGUAUUUCUUGGGUAAGUAAAAAACACAGGGUCAGGCAUGGUGGUUCACGCCUGUAAUCUCAGCACUUUGGGAGGCUGACACGGGUGGAUCACGAGGUCAGGAGUUCAAGACCAGCCUGGCCAAGAUGGUGAAACCCCGUCUCUACUAAAAACACAAAAAUUAGCCAGGCAUGGUGGUGGGCAUCUGUAAUCCCGGCUACUCGGGAGCCUGAGGCAGAGAAUUGCUUGAACCUGCGAGGCGGAGAUUGCAGUGAGCCGAGAUUGUGCCACUGCGCUCCAGCUUGGGAUACAGAGCCAGACUCCAUCUCAAAAAAAAAAAAAAAGAACACAGAACUGUUUCGUUCUGUAGGAAGAGUAGAUUGUAUUACAUUGAUGAUAAGUAAGUCCCAAGUCACACCCAAAAUGUGAUCAUAAGUGAAGAUAAAUGGAUUACUUGAGUGUUGAGACAAGAGGGACAUGCUCUUCUAUUUUAUGUGUCCAUCUUUACCUUUCUGAAAAAAUAAGAAUGUUGUAAUUAGCAUUCUAUGUUUGAAUCUGAGGCUCACUAUUUAUAAGCUGUGUGAUAAUGGGAGAGUUACCCGACUUCUCUGAGCCUCAGUUUUAUCAUUGGAAAACAGCAUAAAUGUACCAUAUUGUAAAGAUCUUGUUAGGAUUGAUCGUGGUGACUCGGUAGAUAAAGCUCCUAGUGUAAUGCCUGGCCCUCAUCAUCAUGUUCAUCAUUAUUAUCACUGUGUUUCUGAAAUGUCACUGAAACGUGUCUUUUAUAGGUGGAACAUAAAUAAUGAUACCUGGGUCAUAACUGAGCAACUAAAACCUUUAACAGUGAAUUUGGACUUCCGAAGAAACAACAAAACUGUCUUCAAGGCUUCAAGCUUUGCUGGCUAUGUGGGCAUGUUAACAGGAUUCAAACCAGUAAGGAGUCUGUUGUUACAUAAUUAUACGGGUAGCUUUUUGUCCUAUUACUGUUACGUAAAAGUUGAAAUCUAAGAAUAUGAGGACCUAAAGGGAAUAUGAAGCCCCAUUUCACCCCCUUGUACUUCUUGUCAGUAUGAGAUCUCGUGGUAGAGAAGAGUAGAAAGGAAAUGGAGGUUUCUGAGCCUGUUCUGGGAUAAAGAGCAUGUGGCCGGGUGUCAAGGGCUCGGAGUCACAAUCUGAUUUCUAGUCCUGGGUCUUCCGCUCACUUAGGCAAGUCAGGCGUUCAUUCUCUGCCCUUCAGUUUCCUGUCCAAAAAGCGUUGCCAGUGGUACCCCACCUACUUAUCUCACAUACUACAAUCAAAAAUGCUUCGAACUUUUUAAAAAGCCUUGCAUGGUUUUGAUUUAUUUUUGCCUUCCCCAUUACCCAAGCUAGGCCUUUAUAUCCCACUCCGAAGUACAGUGAGCGACAGGGCCUUAAAGCGCAUGGUUGAUGUUUCUGACUUCGUUGCUUUGUCUUUUUCUCAGGGACUGUUCAGUCUUACACUGAAUGAACGUUUCAGUAUAAAUGGUGGUUAUCUGGGUAAGUAGAGCAUUCUCAAGUGAAAUGGGAAUCUCAGAGCUUUUUUAUGAGGAAGGCUGGACUGUGCCUUCUGGUUACAAAGUCCAACCUCUUCCGGUUCCCGACUGGUUACAAAGUCUAACCUCUUCUGGUUCCUGACUGGUUACAAAUUCCAACCUCUUCCGGUUCCCGACUGGUUACAAAGUCUAACCUCUUCUGGUUCCUGACUGGUUAUAUUAGUCCAGCCUCUUCCGGGUCCUGACUGGUUACAUAGUGUAACCUCUUCCGGUUCCUGACAUUGUGUUCAUCUCUUCCAGGUGUUCUAGAAUGGAUUUUGGGAAAGAAAGAUGCCAUGUGGAUAGGGUUCCUCACUAGAACAGUUCUGGAAAAUAGCACAAGUUAUGAAGAAGCCAAGAAUUUAUUGACCAAGACCAAGAUAUUGGCCCCAGCCUACUUUAUCCUGGGAGGCAACCAGUCGGGGGAAGGUUGUGUGAUUACACGAGACAGAAAGGAAUCAUUGGAUGUAUAUGAACUCGAUGCUAAGCAGGGUAGGUGGUAUGUGGUACAAACAAAUUAUGACCGUUGGAAACAUCCCUUCUUCCUUGAUGAUCGCAGAACGCCUGCCAAGAUGUGUCUGAACCGCACCACCCAAGAGAAUAUCUCAUUUGAAACCAUGUAUGAUGUCCUGUCAACAAAACCUGUCCUCAACAAGCUGACCGUAUUCACAACCUUGAUAGAUGUUACCAAAGGUCAAUUCGAAACUUACCUGCGGGACUGCCCUGACCCUUGUAUAGGGUGGUGAGCACACAUCUGGCCUACAGAAUGCGGCCUCUGAGACAUGAAGACACCAUCUCCAUGUGACCGAACACUGCAGCUGUCUGACCUUCCAAAGACUAAGACUCAGGGCAGGUUCUCUUUGAGUCACAAGCUUGUCUUCCUCCAUCUGUUGACAAUUGACAGACUUUUUUUUUCCCCCCAUCAGUUGAUUUUUCUUAUUUACAGAUACUUCUUUAGGAGAAGUAAAACAAUCAUCUAGAAUUCAUUGAGUUUUGUUUCACUUUGACAUUUGGGGAUCUGGUGGGCAGUCGAACCAUGGUGAGCUCCACCUCCGUGGAAUAAAUGGAGAUUCAGCGUGGGUAUUGAAUCCAGCACAUCUGUGUGAGUAACGGAACAGUAAACACUCCACAUUCUUCAGUUUUUCACUUUUACUUACUAUUUGUAUGUUUUUCUGUAUAACAGCCUUUUCCUUCUGAUUCUAACUACUGUUAAAAUUAAUAUGUCAUUAUCUUUGCUGUUAUUGACGGCAAUAUAAUUUUAUUACAUAUGAUUAGAGGGAUGAGACAGACAUUCACCUGUAUAUUUCUUUUAAUGGGCACAGAAUGGGCCUUUGACUCUAAAUAGCACUUUUUGGGGUUCAAGAAGUAAUCAGUAUGCAAAGCAGUCUUUUAUACAAUAAUUGAAGUGUUCCCUUUUUCAUAAUUACUCUACCUCCCAGUAACCCUAAGGAAGUUGCUAACUUAAAAAACCGCAUCCCAGAUUCUGUGAAUUUAGUACAUAAACAAGUCAAAGACUUGUGGAAAAUAGGAAGUGAACUCAUAUUUUAAAUUCUCAUAAGUAGCAUUCAUGUAAUAAACAGGUUUUUAGUUUGUUCUUCAGAUUGAUAGGUAGUUUUAAAGAAAUUUUAGUAGUUACUAAAAUUAUGUUACUUUAUUUUUCAGAAAUCAAACUACUUAUGAAAAUUACUAAUAGAACUUGUUAACCUUUCUAACCUUCACGAUUAACUGUGAAAUGUAU